rnacentral:rRNA from 1 species
UGGGGAAUAUUGGACAAUGGGCGCAAGCCUGAUCCAGCCAUGCCGCGUGAGUGAUGAAGGCCUUAGGGUUGUAAUGCUCUUUUGGCGGGGACGAUAAUGACGGUACCCGCAGAAUAAGCCCCGGCUAACUUCGUGCCAGCAGCCGCGGUAAUACGAAGGGGGCUAGCGUUGUUCGGAAUUACUGGGCGUAAAGCGCACGUAGGCGGAUCGGCAAGUCAGGGGUGAAAUCCCGGGGCUCAACCUCGGAACUGCCUCUGAUACGGUCAGUCUAGAGUCCGGAAUAGGUGGGUGGAAUUCCUAGUGUAGAGGUGAAAUUCGCAGAUAUUAGGAAGAACACCGGUGGCGAAGGCGGCCCACUGGUCCGGUACUGACGCUGAGGUGCGAAAGCGUGGGGAGCAAACAGGAUUAGAUACCCAGGUAGUCCCUGAGCGGGCUGGCAAGGCGCAU